rnacentral:rRNA from 1 species
CGUAGGGUCCGAGCGUUGUCCGGAAUUAUUGGGCGUAAAGGGCUCGUAGGCGGUCUGUCGCGUCGGGAGUGAAAACCAGGUGCUUAACACCUGGCCUGCUUUCGAUACGGGCAGACUAGAGGUACUCAGGGGAGAAUGGAAUUCCUGGUGUAGCGGUGAAAUGCGCAGAUAUCAGGAGGAACACCGGUGGCGAAGGCGGUUCUCUGGGAGUAUCCUGACGCUGAGGAGCGAAAGUGUGGGGAGCGAACAGGAUUAGAUACCCUGGUAGUCCACACCGUAAACGUUGGGCGCUAGGUGUGGGAUCCAUUCCACGGGUUCCGUGCCGCAGCUAACGCAUUAAGCGCCCCGCCUGGGGAGUACGGCCGCAAGGCUA